GUUCGAAACUGGUAAUUCGAUUUUGCGUUCAUUCAUUAGGAGAAUUAUUACAAUUUUUAAUAAAAUUAUUAUGUAUGUGCCCUUUAUGCGCUCUAAUUGUCUUAUUACUACUACUGUGAUUGUGAGUGUUAUCAGUAGGUACCUACUGUAGGACUUGAAUAGGAAAUAAAACCAUAAUGAAGCUUAAAAUAUGUAGAAAUAGGAAUGUUAGUGUUUUACGCAUCCGCCGUGCUUGCAAAUACAAGAUAAAUAAUUGUCGACGAGGGAAUGGUGAAACAUAACCUCACUUUCUUAUAAGGUAGGUACGAAUGGACCGUUUUCUACAAGCUGGAGGGGCCUAUAGGACAUUUGCAUUCUACAACCGGCAACCAACAUUUCGUUAUAUGUAAUUACUUUUGCUGUACUAAACAUGACAUUAAGGUACCCUAAUCCAAA